GUGUAUGAGAGUGAUCUGGCUGGGACAUCUGUCUCCCCAUUGAUCACCAGGGUUGUCUGGGCUGAUCCAACUGGCUAAGCAUGUGUCCACUUCUUUCCUCACCACUCCUUAUGCAUCCUUCCUGAAGCUUCAUGCCCAGUUGAAGAGGAUGACCUUCCCCAAGAGGUCAAUUCGUCAGUCAAGGGUAUACAAGUAGUUGUGCUCCCUUGCUUUUCAAUGCCCAGACAUUAACAAACUCCAUUUUCUCUUCCCUCACU
rfam:Otolemur garnettii contig073383, whole genome shotgun sequence.